rnacentral:rRNA from 1 species
GACGAACGCUGGCGGCAUGCCUAAUACAUGCAAGUUGAACGAUGAUAUUCUCUGCUUGCAGAGAAUUGAAGAGUAGCGAACGGGUGAGUAACACGUGGGGAACCUGCCCAUGAGAGGGGGAUAACAUUCGGAAACGGAUGCUAAUACCGCAUAAUGCUUUGGACCGCCUGGUCCAGAGACGAAAGACGGCUUUUGCCGUCACUCAUGGAUGGCCCCGCGCCGUAUUAGCUAGUUGGUGAGGUAAUGGCUCACCAAAGCUGUGAUACGUAGCCGACCUGAGAGGGUGAUCGGCCACACUGGGACUGAGACACGGCCCAGACUCCUACGGGAGGCAGCAGUAGGGAAUCUUCCACAAAGGGCGAAAGCCUGAUGGAGCAAUGCCGCGUGAAUGAAGAAGGUCUUCGGAUCGUAAAGUUCUGUUAUUAGAGAAGAACAAGUCAAGGAGUAACUGUCUUGACUUUGACGGUACCUAACCAGAAAGUCACGGCUAACUACGUG